AGAGUUUGAUCAUGGCUCAGGAUGAACGCUAGCUACAGGCUUAACACAUGCAAGUCGAGGGGAACGACAUCGAAAGCUUGCUUUUGAUGGGCGUCGACCGGCGCACGGGUGAGUAACGCGUAUCCAACCUGCCCACCACUUGGGGAUAACCUUGCGAAAGUAAGACUAAUACCCAAUGACGUCUCUAGAAGACAUCUGAAGGAGAUUAAAGAUUUAUCGGUGAUGGAUGGGGAUGCGUCUGAUUAGCUUGUUGGCGGGGUAACGGCCACCAAGGCGACGAUCGAGUAGGGGUUCUGAGAGGAAGGUCCCCACAUUGGAACUGAGACACGGUCCAACUCCUACGGAGGCA
rnacentral:rRNA from 1 species